rnacentral:rRNA from 1 species
GUGGCCUACGGGGCGCAGCAGUGAGGAACAUUGGUCAAUGGACGCAAGUCUGAACCAGCCAUGCCGCGUGCAGGAUGACGGCUCUAUGAGUUGUAAACUGCUUUUGUACGAGGGUAAACCCCGAUACGUGUAUCGGGUUGAAAGUAUCGUACGAAUAAGGAUCGGCUAACUCCGUGCCAGCAGCCGCGGUAAUACGGAGGAUCCGAGCGUUAUCCGGAUUUAUUGGGGUUAAAGGGUGCGUAGGCGGUUUGAUAAGGUAUAG